GGUGAAGUGUUUAAGUGCACAUGGUGGAUGCCUGGGCAUCAGGAGCCGAUGAAGGACGUGGGAGACCGCGAUAGGCCUCGGGGAGUUGUCAACCAAGCUGUGAUCCGAGGGUGUCCGAAUGGGGAAACCCAGCACCCGGAUAAUAAAGGGGUGUUACCCGCACCUGAAUUCAUAGGGUGUGUGGAGGGAACGCGGGGAAGUGAAACAUCUCAGUACCCGCAGGAAGAGAAAACAAUUGUGAUUCCGUGAGUAGUGGCGAGCGAAAGCGGAUGAGGCUAAACCUGUAUCGUGUGAUAGCCGGCGGGCGUUGCGGUAUGGGUGUUGUGGGGCGUUGUCGUGGGGCCUCUGCCGGGGUUCCGGGUGUGGUGUGGCGUGUUAGCGGAAGGCCUCUGGAAAGGGUCGGCGUAGAGGGUGAGACCCCCGUACGUGAAAACAUGCUGUGCUGUGUCGGAUGAUGUUUCCCCGAGUAGCAGCGAGCUCGUGGAAUUUGCUGUGAAUCUAGCGGGACCACCCGUUAAGCCUAAAUACUACCUGAUGACCGAUAGCGGACAAGUACCGUGAGGGAAAGGUGAAAAGUACCCCGGGAGGGGAGUGAAAUAGUACCUGAAACCGUGUGCAUACAAGCCGUCAGAGCCGUGAUAGGUGAUGGCGUGCCUUUUGAAGAAUGAGCCUGCGAGUUGUGGCAUGUGGCGAGGUUAACCCGUGUGGGGGAGCCGUAGCGAAAGCGAGUCUGAAUAGGGCGUUUCAGUCGCGUGUUGCAGACCCGAAGCGGAGUGAUCUACCCAUGGCCAGGGUGAAGCGCCGGUAAGACGGUGUGGAGGCCCGAACCCACCAGGGUUGAAAACCUGGGGGAUGAGCUGUGGGUAGGGGUGAAAGGCCAAUCAAACUCCGUGAUAGCUGGUUCUCCCCGAA
rnacentral:rRNA from 1 species